GCAAGUCGAGCGAGAAAUUUUCUUCGGAAAAGAGUAAAGCGGCGGACGGGUGAGUAACGCGUAGGAAUCUACCUAGUAGUGGGGGACAACAUGUGGAAACGCAUGCUAAUACCGCAUACGCCCCAAGGGGGAAAGCGGGGGAUCUUCGGACCUCGCGCUAUUGGAUGAGCCUGCGUAGGAUUAGCUUGUUGGUGAGGUAAAAGCUCACCAAGGCGACGAUCCUUAGCUGGUCUGAGAGGAUGAUC
rnacentral:rRNA from 1 species